GAAAAUGUAGCUUAAAUAGGUAAAGCGUCGACCUGUCACGUCGAAGAGUGCGGGUUCAAUCCCCGUCUUUUUCG
rnacentral:tRNA from 1 species